rnacentral:rRNA from 1 species
UACGUAGGGCGCAAGCGUUGUCCGGAUUUAUUGGGUUUAAAGGGUGCGUAGGCGGUUCUUUAAGUCCGGGGUGAAAGCCCACUGCUCAACAGUGGAACUGCCCUGGAAACUGGAGAACUUGAGUACAGACGAGGGCGGCGGAAUGGAUGGUGUAGCGGUGAAAUGCAUAGAUACCAUCCAGAACCCCGAUUGCGAAGGCAGCUGCCUAGACUGUAACUGACGCUGAGGCACGAAAGCGUGGGGAGCGAACAGG